AUCAUCUGGUAUGGUUUCCCUUCAGGCCAGAGAAUGCUUAGCAUUUCUUGAAGAGAAUGUCUGUUUGCAAUACAUUUUCUUGGUUUCUGAAAAUGCUUUUACUCUCUUUUCAUGUUUUUAAAGAAAAAGAAUUUUUUUUUUUCUGAGUACACAGUUCUGGGUUGAAGGGUUUCUCUUUUUUUCUGGACCCAUGAUCCAGAAAUCUUCCUCUUUAAUAAGCAUCCCCAAUUGUUCUCAUGCAGAGUAUCUGUAGGCCACAGUUUGAGGAAAAUUUCAGUGAGUAAUCCACAUGAUCUCCUGAAGGACAAGACCACUGGCAGCCUUGGAAGUUUUGGCUUCAGUGGCGUUCUGGGAUCAACGGGGUUGGAGGGUGUUAGUGUUUUGUCACUGUGACAAAUACCUGAGAUAAUCAACUUAGUAGGAGGAAAGGUUUAUUUUUGCUCAAGGUUUCAGUUCAUGGUCACUUGGUCUUAUUGCUUUGUGCCUGUGGCAGCACAUGGUGGAACAUGGGGCACAGGAGCCCUGAUCACCUCAUAGUGACUGGGAGCAGAAAGAAAGAGGAAGGGUAUGGAGUCCCACUAUCCCCUGAAGGAGCACACCCACAAAAACCUAACUUACUUUCACUAGGCCCCACCUCUAAAAGGUUCCAACACCUCCAAAUAGUGCCAUAGGCUGGGGACCAAGUUGCCUUUAGCACCAUAGGCCCUUGGAAGACAUUCAAGAUCCAAAAUAUAAAGGAGGGCAAAUGAAGAGGUCUAGACAGGGAGAAUACACAAGCUGCUUUUCUCUGAUUGCCCUUCUUUCCUCUUAACUUGAGGGUGUGGUCUGUGCAUCUACAUUUUUGGCACAAGUGUGAGGGAAGUGUGAUUCCAUUGACUUCUUGAAACUGUAAAAUCCUUCUGCCUAUGCUACACUGCAUUUUUGAGGCCCCUUAACCUUCCUCACGCACUCUGUUCUCAAAGGCUGGCUUGAAAUAGUCUAAAGGUCUGGGCAUUGUGAUCUCAUUAAUGGUGUUGAUGACAUUCAGGAUGAGUCAGCACUGGCCUGCUAGACAUGGGCUGAGAUUGUUUUGGUGACUGCAAGUCAUAUAGUGGGAACUUGGGGAGGAAGGCAGUGUGUCUCCAGGACUUAUUCUGUUAAGUCAAUGGACACGUCUUUGGAUCAUUUUUUAUCUGUUUUCUCACACCUCUGGGGAAACAUGACACUGUGAAUUGGUGCUGUGGAGUAAAAGAAGUAUGACAAUGAGUUCCUGACUGUGGAAUUCACUCUUCUUACCAUGGUUCCUCACCUUCCUAAAGGAGCUGGCUGGAGAGAACAGUCUAAUGGCCUUUUGAAGAUGCAAUUACUGCACUACCUUGAGGGAAGUACCUUGCUGGGCUAGAUCAGGGUUCUCCAGGAGACUGUAUAUACUCUGAGUCAGCAUCCAGUACAUGGUGAUUUUUCUCCCAUAGAUAAGAUUUAUGGAUCUAGGUAUAAAGGGGUGAAAAUGGGAGUGGCACCAAUCACUAUUUUCUCUAGUGAUCCACAAGCUUUAUUUUAGCUUCUUGUUCCUGAAACCUUAUGCUCUGUUGGCCUAGAGGUCCUAGUUCCAGAGGGAGAAUGCUUUCACCAGGAAACAACAAGGAUUCCAUUGAACUAGAAGUUAAGACUACUAUCAAGACACUUUGGGCUCCUCAUACCUUUGCAUCAAGAAGCUAAGAAAAGAGAUACUUGCUGAUGGGAGAGUUUAAUCCUAUCUACCAAAGAAAACUUAGUCUACUAUUCUUCAAUGGAGACUUUGAGUAAAGAAGAUUGCCCUUCCUAAGGUGGCUAGGACUCAUCUAUCCCCUGAAAGCCUGAAUAGAACAAAAAAGAAUGGGCAUCCUUGAGGAAGAAGAAAUUCUUCAUCAGACAGCCUUUGGACUGGGACUAUAACAAUGGCUUUUCAAUUGGGGCUCCUGGCUGCCAGCCUACCCUGCAGAUUUUGCACUCACAGUCACCAUAAUCAAAUGAGCAAAUUCCUUAA